rnacentral:lncRNA from 1 species
CCAGCCAAAUCAAUCAGCCAAGGGCCAUUAUGUGCGUGAGUGUGUUAGUAAUGGGUAUCUCUGAAGAUUAUUUCUCAACUCGGCAUGGGGGUAGAGACUAAAAAGACGAUGCCACCGUAGCAUGGCAGACCAUGUAAGUGCCACGAACAGCAUGAUAUUCUACUUUCAUUCCUUGGUUUGAAUAAUAAUUUGCUCUGCACGUGUAGGAACAUAGCGGUCGGGCAAACGAAACUUCGGCAUCUUGAUCGAUCAAGCGAAGCUUUUAAGCGCACAUACAAGUAACUUUGCAAUCAAGUGCUAUUUUUGUUUUUUCAGUUUCACUAAUUGCAUCUAAGGGCUACAAGAUCCCAUGCGCUAGCCAACGUCAAGGUUCAUAUUCAUUUUUAUUAUAUAGAUGGAACGAUAUUGUCUAUAUAUGGACACAAGACGGUACUCAUGUAAUAUUCUAUGAAGACAUGCUCGGACACUUGACAACAUGCCAUUGCUAAAUUAAUCUCUACCAUACUUUUCCAUAACAUCCACUGCGGUAAGGUUGUUCCAGUUUAAUUUAGCAACACUUUGCAUGGUCUAGAUAGCCAAGGUUCUAAAUAAGCUAUUGCUUAUUUUCAUGAUUUCAAAAUGCUUCCGUGAAGCUUUUGUUCCCAUCUAUAAGACCAAUCACCCUUUUCCCUUUAUUUUUUCCUUUACGAGGUCAGCUAUUUAAAUGAUGAUUCAUUAAACUCAAACAUGUAGUCAUGCGAGUGGCGAUGGUGGUGAACAUUAGUCAGAUUGGGGCAGAAGAUGCCGAGCACAAGCAUGCGGCUUGCCCUUGAUUGAGUUGUCAACACUGAUGAUUGGGGUGGUGUCUUCUGGUUGAACAAUGCCAACAUCGCACAGUGAGUCGUCUCAGUUUCAUAUGACCUGUUGGUGAUGUCUCUGAAUACAUGUUGAUUUGAUGAG